rnacentral:rRNA from 1 species
UAGUCAUAUGCUUGUCUUAAAGAUUAAGCCAUGCAUGUCUAAGUCUAAGUAGCUUUAUAGCGAGACUGCGAAUGGCUCAUUAAAUCAGUUAUAGUUUACUUGGUUGUGCUUUUACUACUUGGAUAACUGUAGUAAUUCUAGAGCUAAUACAUGCAAAAAUUCCCGACUUCUGGAAGGGAAGGCAUUAUCAGGUCCAAAAUCGAUCCGGGCAACCGGUUAUUGAUGAUUCUAGAUAAUUGUUCGAAUCGUGUGCUCUCGAAGCGACGAUAGGCCAAUC